CUCUAAAACCGUUGAUGUCAAUUUUAAGAAAGGGGAUUACUAAUGGGAUUCUAUAUUUCCCUUUUUAGCACCAUCUCAAAAUUUUAAUUCUUUAACAUCAAAAUUUUUGAUUCAUAAUUCGUCUGAAAUUUUCAUCGGAGUUAUGUUUUUUUAUCUGGAUGUACCAUCAAGACAUAGGGAUAUGACGAAAUAAAAGAAGUGUAUUGCAUUGUGGCACAAUGCAUUUGGUGGAGAUGGAUGCUUAGCUGAGAAAGGCGUAGUUGCUGUUAUACAGAGAAAGACUCUGCAACAACACUGGGGUAGUCAAGUUAUUUACUCUUCUAUUGAAAACUAAGGCAAUGUUCUACUGUACAUAUACUUACGAAAAUGUGGAGUUCCUGGUUGGUGGAUUCAUGACACAAUCUGCUUCUUUCUGGUUGUAACAAUAAUAUGCUGAUUACAUUUGAAUAUGGAAACCACCUCUACCCAGCUAAAAUACAUCAGGGAUCUGGAUGGUGCUGCCCUGAAGUAUAUAUAUAUAUAUAUAGUAUCAAAAGAUUGGACCUUUACAUGAAGGUGUCUUCCAGAAAUGAACUCAGAGAAGACCAUCAAGCUAUCCAAAAUGACAUAAAUAUGUUGUCGCCUUAGAGAUGACACAAAAUGACAGCAUAUAUGGAGAUUAAAAGCUCGGCAAUGGAUAUAUCCUUUCGAAAGGCAAAAAAAGUUCUCAUUGUAUUUCCCGUUAUCCCUUAAAGCUCCAUCACCAUAGUAAUUUAUAAUACUAUUAACUGCUUGCACUAAUUUGCUUAUCUUUUAAGUAAUGUAAGGCAUCUGGGUGUGUGAUGGGAAUCAUAGGAGCAGUUUCAUUACACAAGCAGUUCGUGUUGGGUGGUGGAUUUCCCAAGAUCCAAUUCACCAGUUCCUUAUAUUAGGGAAGUCUGGAAUAUCUAUACAAAGCAUCGGAUGGGCGUAAUGUCUAAUCCAAUCGUGUGAGAUAGGAUCAGGGAAUAUGAAAGCAUUCAAAUUUACCAUGAAAGCGUCCUUGAUGACGUCAAUUACUGUGGGAUUCUUCUAUUGCUUGAUAAUUAUGUUGUUAACAGAUUCACUAUUCUACUGGCUUUCACUGUUAACAGAACUUUCAGUUUACAUAGAAAAAAAAUUAUUAACUAA